ACCAUCUCCUCCCUGAUAAAGCAGCCGUUCUGGUGGUGAUGCAUCACACCUUCAAUCCUGAACAAGUGAUUCCUCCGAGCCGCAGACUGGUGACAGACCGGAGAGUCCGACUGACUCUGGACUGUCUGUUCUACCAGAACAAUCUGCUCAGCUGUGAACUCAACAGGAACAUGAAGGCCAGCAUCAAGACGUUCUUCAAAACCUCAAAGAGGUGCUCUUCCUGUCCAAUCCUGGUCCAGUGAUGUUUCAGUUCCUACAACCAUUGAAGGAGAACCUGGAUCCAAGUAUCAUCAGGACACUUUCAGCAAGAAGACAUCUCCACCAGCUGCUCCAAGUGGGUCAGAGCUCAUUUUACUGCAGAGGAUCGAGAAGCUGCAUGAAGAAAUGGAAGCUCUGAAAAGUCAAACUGCAAAAGAAAUGAGAGUCCUGAAAAAACAAAAUGUAGAAAAAAUAGAAGCCCUGAAAAAACAAAAGACCGAAGAAAUGGAAGCCCUGAAAAAACAUAAAGCUGAAGAAAUAGAAGCCAAGAACAAACAAAAUGUUGAAGAAGUGGGAGCCCUGAAAAAACAAAACACGAAAGAAAUUGAAGCCCUGAAAAAACUAAUUACUGAAGAACAAGGAGCCCUGAAAAAACAAAGCGCUGAAGAAGUGGGAGCCGUGAAAAAACAAAUUGCUGAAUUAGGAGAUGAAAUUGCUAACAAAGACAAGACAACACAGGAAUUACAGACGGACUUGGAAAAGGUGAAGAAGGUCAUGGGUUUUCCUCUCAAACCUCAGUCCAAUGUUGGUCCAGUUCUUACAAAUAGUGGAGGACGACCUGGAUCCAUGGAUCAUCAGAACACUCCCCUCCGGCCUGAAGAUGGAGCCAAGAACUGCAGCUGUGAGGAGAUGAUCGUCCUGUGAGACCAAAGCAUCUGGAUCAUGUGGAUGUGAAGGGAUCAAACUGAAGGCUGGACCUGCUGGAGGGACUGAGUGAUGGAGCUGAGGCUGAUGUUGAUCUUUGGGUCUUAAAUCUGAUCUUUGUUAGUCAAACUCUUGAAGUCAUGCUUGAAAAUUUAAUGCAGUUUGUUUCCAAUUGUGUUUCUUCACUGCAGCGGCUGCUGGCAUCAAUCUACCUACGAAUGGUCAAAGGUUUUGUUUUCAAU